UACGAAGGGUGCAAACGUUAUUCGGAUUAAUUGGGCGUAAAGGGUACGCAGGCGGUUCGUUAAGUCAACUGUUAAAUCUCCCGGCCUAACUGGGAAUCAGCAGUAGAUACUGGCGAACUAGAGGAUGGAAGAGAGAAGUGGAAUUCUUGGAGUAGAGGUAAAAUUCGUAGAUCUCAAGAGGAACACCGAUGGCGAAGGCAGCUUCUUGGUCCAUAUCUGACGCUCAGGUACGAAAGCGUGGGGAGCAAACAGG
rnacentral:rRNA from 1 species